UCCGCCGCCACUGCUCGCCGCCACACGCCGCCUCCGCGUCUCCCGCCGCCCUCACAGGUAGAAAAUCUUCUCCUUGCUCCUACAAUCGGGUAUGUGGGAUUUGAAGACGAAGAGAAUACUGAAGCUGACGGCAGUUGUUGGCGGCGUGUUCAUAAGAGAGCCAACAGAAUGACAACAGCAUCAAUGUCACAGCGACAACCUCCGUCACGAACAACAGAGGUGCUGUUGCUGGUGAAAAUACUAAUGCCACGGGUGAUGCUUUAUACCUGUUGAUACCAGUUAGUUAACUGCUGCGGAUGCUGGAUGAAAGAAUAACACGGGAGAAUUUACAGAGGAAGGAGACAUGCACAAUACGAUGAAUUUUGGUGGUGUCAGCACCUGCAUUUUGUAGGCCUACGUCAAGAUUACAGUCGCUCUGUCUAAGACUCAACAGAUCUCACUGACAUUGCUGCCCUAUAGCCGUCACUGUGUCAAUAAAACGGAGAAUGUUCUCUGAAAUGGCAACAGGAAAACAUUCUUUUGUAUUACCUUUCCCGUAAUCCGAAGACUUCAAAGGACAGGAACAUCCUAAGAAAUCAGUUCGUCGGCCUUUACACAUAUUAAAGAUAGU